rnacentral:rRNA from 1 species
GACGAACGCUGGCGGCGUGCUUAAAACAUGCAAGUCGAACGGACUUCUCAUGAAGCUUGCGAUUGAGAAGUUAGUGGCGGACGGGUGAGUAACGCGUGGGCAACCUGCCCCUGAGCCCGGGAUAACAGUUCGAAAGGACUGCUAAGACCGGAUACACUUGCGGUGAAGCAUUUCACUGCAAGGAAAGGGAACGCUCAGGGAUGGGCCCGCGUCCCAUUAGCUAGUUGGUGAGGUAACGGCCCACCAAGGCGACGAUGGGUAGCCGGCCUGAGAGGGUGAACGGCCACACUGGGACUGAGACACGGCCCAGACUCCUACGGGAGGCAGCAGUUGGGAAUCUUCGGCAAUGGGCGCAAGCCUGACCGAGCAACGCCGCGUGAGUGAUGAAGGUUUUCGGAUUGUAAAGCUCUGUCUUCCGGGACGAUAAUGACGGUACCGGAGGAGGAAGCCACGGCUAACUACGUGCCAGCAGCCGCGGUAAGCAUACUCGUA